rnacentral:rRNA from 1 species
CUAAGCUGUAGCACCCUGAAAAUGCCUGAUCUCACCUGAUCUCAGAAGCUAAGCAGGACUGGGCCUUUGAUAACUCCUGUGCUCAAGGAGUCCUCUCUCAGGACCCUAGAACAGCUGGGA